rnacentral:rRNA from 1 species
AACGAACGCUGGCGGCAGGCCUAACACAUGCAAGUCGAGCGAGAUCUUCGGGUCUAGCGGCGGACGGGUGAGUAACGCGUGGGAACGUGCCCUUUGCUUCGGAAUAGCCCCUGGAAACGGGGAGUAAUACCGGAUGUGCCCUAUUGGGGAAAGAUUUAUCGGCAAAGGAUCGGCCCGCGUUGGAUUAGGUAGUUGGUGGGGUAAUGGCCUACCAAGCCGACGAUCCAUAGCUGGUUUGAGAGGAUGAUCAGCCACACUGGGACUGAGACACGGCCCAGACUCCUACGGGAGGCAGCAGUGGGGAAUCUUAGACAAUGGGCGCAAGCCUGAUCUAGCCAUGCCGCGUGAGCGAUGAAGGCCUUAGGGUUGUAAAGCUCUUUCAGGGGGGAAGAUAAUGACUGUACCCUCAGAAGAAGCCCCGGCUAACUCCGUGCCAGCAGCCGCGGUAAUGUCAGUG